GGCGAUACUGAUAGGUGAUAGGGGAGCCUCGCCUCCGGCAGUCCGGCGCCGCCGCGGGGAUCACCCAACUCCACCCCCACUGCCUCCUCCUCCCUCUCCCCACCACGACCGUCCCACCACCGCUCCGUCCACGCCGCCGUAACCUCGCCCCCACGCGCUCGUUUGCCACGCUGGUUCUCGCGUCCACAUCCGCGCGCUCCAGCCGUUCGACGAAACGCCACCGAGCCACUGACGCGUCCGCUCCACGCGCGCUCGCGCUUCCAGCUUCCUCCGCCGUUCCCGGAGAGCCUAAGCCGGGAGGGGAGGCCACCGAUCCAUGUCCGUCGCGAAGCGCUACGUGCUGCGCCUCUUCAUCUCGCUCAAGUACGUGACGGCCAACGUGGUGGACCGGCAGAGCGGCCGCAUCGUGACGACCGCCUCGACUGCAGAGCGGCCCCUGCGGGAGGGGCUGGAGUGCGGUCGCGCCUGCAACGCCAAGGCGGCGGCCGCCGUCGGCGAGGUGCUCGCCAUGCGGCUCAAGGUGGACGGCCUCGCGCGGGAGCCCAUACACGCCGACGCGGCGAAGGAGGUCGCCAAGAAGGGGUUCAAGAACCAGACCAAGGUCUGGGCCAUCCUCAACGCGCUGCGCAACCACGGUGUCAACCUCCACAUCCACGACGAUGGGGACCACAGGCGGCACGUCUGAAGCAAUCAUCAGUUCACCAGUUCUUAUAUGCUUUGAGCUGAUUCAAAGCACUAUCCAGCAGAGCCUUCUUACUGCUGUUGAUCACUUUCCUUGACUGUGCUCUUAUGAUCAUGCUGACCUACUGGUGGCGCUAGAGCCCAGGACAUCUCAUCUUGUAAUGGUGGAGCUGAGGGUGUAGUGUACCAAGCUCUUGAACUGCUUCCUAGGACCACUACCAUUUUCUGCAACAAGUGGGACAAAGUAGAGUGUUAGUUUCAGUUAUGGAAAUUAUGGUGAAAACAUGAAAUUGGAAUCUCUUUUAACUUCCUGGACUGCUAAAAUAUGACUAAUUGUUCAGAUUCAGCGUUUGUCAACAUGGGGUUUUCAGUCAAAUUCGUAUUAAUUUUUGGCAAAUCUGUGUCACGCACUGUUCAUUAUGCCCCCUUACAGUUUCCAGCGGAAAUUAAAGUAUAUCAAAAGACAUUCAUCUGGAAACUCGAAUUACCUGGUUGUGAUUCUCAAUUGCUGGAUCAGGAUUGACAACUU